AUACUGCGGUGCUUGAGGACUGAGAGAGACUGGAAUUUACGGUGUAGCAGUGAAAUGCGUAGAGAUCGUAAGGAAGACCAGUGGCGAAGGCGGGUCUCUGGACAGUUCUGACACUGAGGCACGAAGGCCAGGGGAGCAAACGGGAUUAGAUACCCCGGUAGUCCUGGCAGUAAACGGCGCACGUUUGGUGUGGGAGGAUUCGACCCCUUCUGCGCCGGAGCUAACGCGUUAAACGUGCCGCCUGGGGAGUACGGUCGCAAGAUUAAAACUCAAAGAAAUUGACGGGGGCCCGCACAAGCGGUGGAGUAUGUGGCUUAAUUCGAUGCAACGCGAAGAACCUUACCUGGCCUUGACACGCAUCUCUAAACCGGUGAAAGCCGGCGAGUCUCGAAAGAGACAAUUUGCACAGGUGCUGCAUGGCUGUCGUUAGCUCGUGUCGUGAGAUGUUGGGUUAAGUCCCGCAACGAGCGCAACCCCUGUGAACUGUUGCCACGGAACCGAGAGGUUCCAGCACUCUGUUCAGACUGCCCUGUGAAACGGGGAGGAAGGUGGGGAUGACGUCAAGUCAGUAUGGCCCUUACGGCCAGGGCUGCACACGUACUACAAUGCCCAGUACAGAACGAUCCGAGACCGCAAGGUGGAGGAAAUCUAUCAAAACUGGGCCCAGUUCGGAUUGGAGUCUGCAACUCGACUCCAUGAAGCCGGAAUCGCUAGUAAUGGCGUAUCAGCUACGACGCCGUGAAUACGUUCCCGGGCCUUGUACACACCGCCCGUCACAUCAUGGAAGUUGUUUGUAGCCGAAGCCGGCGCGCUAACCGCAAGGAGGCAGCCGCCUACGCUAUGAGCAGUAACUGGGAUGAAGUCGUAACAAGGUAACCAAGGG
rnacentral:rRNA from 1 species